UAAAUGUUUUUAUUAUUUCACGUCAUUUCAAUACUUUAUGAGAAUUUUAUUACUUUUACGUUAGGCAACACUUGGUGAAAUGGUACAAUUUUUUCUAUUAUAUAUUCUUGUUUGUGUUGUUGCAGGUUUGAAAUUUAAGGUUAAAGCCUGGAGUGAUUCUUUCUAUCUUUCCAAAGAUUAUUUCCGAAGAUAAAAAAAUUAAUACGUUAAGCGUUAUACGCCUGACCACUUCAGAAAACGAAGAGCCUGGCUGGAUCUUUUAAAAGUCCUCCAUGUAAGAAGAUAAAACUUGAUAUUACUACACAGACAUCAACAUUACCUCUUACACCAAGGAAAAUAAAAUUGAAGCGUGAGGUGAAAAAUCUAAAACAGAAAGUCUACAUAAAUAAUAAAUAUACCAUUUACUAUAA